rnacentral:rRNA from 1 species
GUUGUAGUCUGGAGAAGUGCUUUCCGCGCUGGACCGUGUAUAAGUCUCUUGGAAUAGAGCGUCAUAGAGGGUGAGAAUCCCGUCUUUGACACGGACUACCAGUGCUUUGUGAUGCGCUCUCAAAGAGUCGAGUUGUUUGGGAAUGCAGCUCAAAAUGGGUGGUAAAUUCCAUCUAAAGCUAAAUAUUGGCGAGAGACCGAUAGCGAACAAGUACCGUGAGGGAAAGAUGAAAAGCACUUUGGAAAGAGAGUUAAACAGUACGUGAAAUUGCUGAAAGGGAAACACUUGAAGUCAGUCGCGUCGCUUGGAACUCAUCCUGGCUUUGCCUGGUGCACUUUCUGAGUGACGGGCCAGCAUCAAUUUUGACCGUUGGAAAAAGGCUGGGGGAAUGUGGCACCUUCGGGUGUGUUAUAGACUCUGGUCACAUACAACGGUUGGGAUUGAGGACCGCAGCGCGCCGCAAGGCAGGGGUUCGCCCACUUUCGCGCUUAGGAUGCUGGCAUAAUGGCUUUAAAUGACCCGUCUUGAAACACGGACCAAGGAGUCUAACAUACCUGCGAGUGUUUGGGUGGAAAACCCGAGCGCGUAAUGAAAGUGAAAGUUGAGACCUCUGUCGUGGAGGGCAUCGACGCCCGGACCUGACGUUCUCUGACGGAUCCGCGGUAGAGCAUGUAUGUUGGGACCCGAAAGAUGGUGAACUAUGCCUGAAUAGGGUGAAGCCAGAGGAAACUCUGGUG